UACGUAGGGGGCUAGCGUUGUCCGGAAUCAUUGGGCGUAAAGUGCGUGUAGGCGGUCCGGUAAGUCCGCUGUGAAAGUCGAGGGCUCAACCCUCGAAUGCCGGUGGAUACUGUCGGGCUUGAGUACGGGAGAGGCGAGUGGAAUUCCUGGUGUAGCGGUGAAAUGCGCAGAUAUCAGGAGGACCACCGAUUGCGAAGGCAGCUCGCUGGAACGUUACUGACGCUGAGACGCGAAAGCGUGGGGAGCAAACAGG
rnacentral:rRNA from 1 species